CAUAAGGUCUCUGUCUACAGUACAAACAGUACAUAAGGCAUCUGUCUACAGUACAAACAGUACACAAGGUCUCUGUCUACAGUACCAACAGUACAUAAGGUCUCUGUCUACGGUACCAACAGCACAUUAGGUCUCUGUCUACAGUACAAACAGUACAUAAGGUCUGUCUACAGUACCAACAGUACACAAGGUCUGUCUACAGUACCAACAGUUCAUAAGGUCUGUCUACAGUAUCAACAGUACAUAAGGUCUGUCUACAGUAUCAACAGUACACAAGGUCUGUCUACAGUACAUAAGGUCUCUGUCUACAGUACCAACAGUACAUAAGGUCUCUGUCUACAGUACCAUCAGUGGAUCUUUGUCUAUGGUACCAACAAUACAAAAGGUCUAACUGCAGAAACAGUAGAUGCAUAAGGUCUAUUAGUGCAUUUGUGAUUUAUCAAUGGCACCAAUGUACGAAAGCACUUAAACUAUGGCUCUUACAGUACACUGUGGCUUAAGCUGAGGCACAAACAGCACAAGGUCACUUCAGUAGCAUCACCAACCGUACAUAGGUGCUUAGACUAGGGCCUCGCCAGUACAUGGUAGCUAGCUGUGGCACUAACAGUACAUAGGUGCUUAGACUAGGGCCUCACCAGUAUAUGGUAGCUAGCUGUGGCACUAACAGAACAUAGGUGCUUCAACUAGGGCCUCACCAGUAUAUGGUAGCUAGCUGUGGCACUAACAGUACAUAGGUGCUUAGACUAGGGCCUCACCAGUAUACGGUAGCUAGCUGUGGCACUAACAGUACAUAGGUGCUUCAACAAGGGCCUCACCAGUAUAUGGUAGCUAGCUGUGGCACUAACAGUACAUAGGUGCUUAGACUAGGGCAUCACCAGUAUAUGGUAGCUAGCUGUGGCCCGCACAGUACAUAGGUGCUUAGACUAGGGCCUCACCAGUAUACGGUAGCUAGCUGUGGCACUAACAGUACAUAGGUGCUUAGACUAGGGCAUCACCAGUAUAUGGUAGCUAGCUGUUGCCCCAACAGUACAUAGGUACUACAGCACCAAAGUACAUGGUUGUUGGAACAACAACAGAAGCAGUACAUGUGUGCUGCCAGGACACCAGUCCUUUAGCUAUAACACAUUAACAGUUAAUUGCACCAGCUGGACUAAAUCAAGUCCUUAUUCCCCUUUUAAAGGUUCACACAGCGUUUCAGACAGUUGUUUCAAGAAAACAGUACCAAGCAAAACAUUUUUAAUACAUACAUUACUUUAAUUAACAUGUAUAAAACAAUCAUGUCCAAUAACCCAAUGGUCCCCCACCCACAUCAGCCCACUUGGCCAUACAUACCUGACAACAUCAGACUUACAAUGUCGGGAAUGAUCAUAACAAGUUCCAGCAACAGCAUGCAUAACUUUCAUUCUAAAUAACAAGAACAAUUGUGUACCCACACACUCUCACCAUGGCAAUUCAUGUUUUAUACACGGACACUUGUCUUCGAUCAAACAACUUCAUUCUGGG